CCUCUUCCUACACACUGUCUCUGCUUUGCCUACUCUACUCCUGUUGCUGGGGCAGGAAACAACUUUUUUGUGAGGAGAAAAUUAGUGGUCCUUUGCUGCCCAUUGAACACAGCCCAGACCUUUGAGAAUAUUCCGUUUCCCAAGAUGAAGAAAAAUAAUCGUUCCAAUGUGUAUUUGAGAUUCUGCUGUCAGAGGCUUUUCUGCUUUCACUCAGGCUCAGUCCUGAGAUGGCUGUUAACUUCAGUAAAGAUCUCUAAGUGCAUGAACUGUCCUGUGUGUCCAGCAGCAACUGCUGAUCAUCAUUCUAUCUGCAGAGACUACUGAGCAGCACUUAAUCGAGCUGAUGGAAAUUCUUUGCAAGAUAGAGCCCUGACUUCAUAGGUGUUAUGGUGAUGUGUCUGUAUCAGCAGUGUGAUGGUAUGAAGAGAUUCCACUGCAACCAGCUUGUCAUUUCAUGAAGAGUUAACAAAUGCAGAUAUGUAGUUCUCCCUGAGAGACACAUGUGAACAGCAUUCACUUCACCAAUUUCAGAUAAAAUGGUUUAUUCUUUGCUUAUCUCAGCUUAUCCCCCUGAGUAUCACAGACCCUACUGUUUGAAUCCAAGUUAUACUCUGGAACAACAGGCAAUAUUUUCAAUUGAUUGUGCAAUAAACUCAGCAAUACAGAUGUUUCAGACAAAAUGUAGCUCCUGAAGGACAACACUCCACAAAAGGAUUAAAAAAGGUCUGUAACCACCAUGCAGGGUGAGGUUUUCCAGAGUUCAAAGAACCACCCUAGGAGAGGUGGCCCAUCCUGGCUAACACAACCCCUAGCAAUGAUAUGUAGUACCUGUAAUAACCAGGUAUCAACUGAGAUUAGCCUUUCAGGUGAGAAGACCUUUAGCAUAGAUUGGAGCAAAGCUUUUGGGACCACAGCCAGAUACUUUGUGCCUCUGUCACAGAGCAUGAGGUCUUUAAUUUAGUCUGAGUGGUGGGUGGAAAUGCUUACACAGCAGCUUCAGGAAAAGGAGGUGGAAGAGGCACAACAAACAGUUAUAGCCUUCUGGUAAAGAUGCCUGCCUGCCAGGACAAAUAGAAGGGUAUGAAUUCUUUUUGGGAUAAGAUGCAAAUUGGCUCAGGUAGAAUAACUGUAGUAUAGUGGAUAGGUCACUUCUGGUUUGUUUGGGACUAUUUCACAAAGUCAGGGCCUAAGUUUCCACUAGCUUGAAGGGGAUCCAUCCCUUUGAACACUAAAUUAACUUCCUAAACCACAAAAUGCAAUUCUCCAAACUCCAUGCUAGUUCCUGUGCAUCAGGGAGGUGCAUAACUCUCUUUUCUGUCUGAUGUUCAGAAGCAUCUCUGACAUUCACUGUUCUGCUAAGCCACCACAUUGAGCUCUGCUGCUGCCAGGUACCAGAAAUUUGUCUGGUGCUUGCACUUUGACAGAAGUGAAACAUCUGAUGAUGUGCAAGAACCCAGUUCACCUGCCUGCUGAAAAUUCAGCAAACUGAAGGCUCUGCACAAAACACAGGAUCUGUAAAUCCUCCCAUGCAAUCAGCUACCCCUGUAAUUGCAGUGGGAAAGAUACAUCCUCAGUGACACAUGUGAGGGGAAACAAACUGCACAGCUGCUGCAAGCUCCAGAGGCAGGAGAGGAAAAUGGUAGUAAGGAGAGCACCUGUUUAGUUUUCCGUGUAAAUCUGUCCUGGAUGGAGCCCUUGCCCUGUGCUGCAAACUGUGAAAUUGGAUCCCAAGAGGGUUCAAAGUGUGUUGGCUCAGCUGCUCUGUCCAGCAGGCUGGAAUCUAUUUUGGUACAGGGAGGCUGAGGAUCAGCAGCCUCUUUCCUCCUCUCUUUUCAGAACUCUCCUGCUUCAUACUCCUUAGGUCAGAGAGAAAUAACAACUCUUACUCUGCUCCCAGUAAUUUGUGUGCUUUCAUAGGAAGAGGGAGAUCUGUUGCUCCAAAAUCAAUUUCAGCUUUUUUUGCACAAAAACACAGAAAAACUAUUUGCAGAAAAGAAAGAAUACCUUUUAAACCAUGAACUGAAAUGCGGGGAUUCCACCAAACCAGAGGCUGCUUACUCUAGUGUGCUCCUUCCCUCUCUUGAGCCAUAGAGAGACUGUGAUGUUGUGCUGGUUUCCUUUUCCUGGGAUAAUAGGGUUUUGUGCUCACCCAAAAUGGUGCAAAUGCUACCCUGGUCAGCUAAGUCAUUAUUCAUAAAAUGUACCUAAAGCAGAUGUUUCUUUUUUUUUAGUUUUAAAGGGCAGAAUUUGAGCUCCUGAACUUUGUUUUAAUUUUUCACAAUGAGUAAUUAAGACUUUUACCUGCUGUUCAGUACUUUUAUGGACUAAAUAAACAGCUGGUUUAAAUCAUCACUGUUCUGUUAAGCCUGGCAGAAUGAUGCCAGUGUAAACCACUGAACAACUUGGCCCCAUUUGACUUUUUCAAGUAUUCAGAAAAUAUUUAUUGCACUUGCUGAAAUAUAAAUUAACAAGAGACAUGGCGCAUAUCCUUGAGGAAUCUACCUAUAACAAAUCAGGUUCAUAAACAAGUGAGAUGUGGAGCAGCACAGAAAAUUUGUCAGGAAACAGAUUUUAUUCCAAGCUGACAACUGCUCAUAUGGAAAACUGUAGAAAAUAUCACUGCAAAAAAUAUAUAUACUAUACCAGGUGCAUGGAUACUUUAGUAAGUACCCUUGAUGGAAUAAUAUGAACAUGCUCAUACAUGGCACAGGAAACCAUUUGGAUUUGCAAAGAUCCUUUCUGCAGGAAUAAUCACCAAAGGAAAUGUACACAUGCAGAAGGUUUCUGCAGCAGGAAUGAUAAAUUCUAGAACAUUUCAGCUUUUCAGGUUGCUUUGCUUAUAGCAAGGCAUUCCCUUCCAGCCAGCCAAAAGCAGCAGCAGCUGUGCAUGGCAAGAGGGAAGCUUGGGCUGUGGGGCACAAUCCACUUUAGUACCCAGGCCAUGAAUGUCCAGACCCAUUGUGCUGUCAUGUGCUUACUGUAACUGGUUUGUUUAAUAAACAUUCACUCUAAGUAAAAAUUAGAGCUUGCUAAAACAGAGACUGAA